rnacentral:rRNA from 1 species
CAGUCGCCGCGGGAAUACGAAGGGGGCUAGCGUUGUUCGGAAUUACUGGGCGUAAAGCGCACGUAGGCGGAUAUUUAAGUCAGGGGUGAAAUCCCAGAGCUCAACUCUGGAACUGCCUUUGAUACUGGGUAUCUUGAGUAUGGAAGAGGUGAGUGGAAUUCCGAGUGUAGAGGUGAAAUUCGUAGAUAUUCGGAGGAACACCAGUGGCGAAGGCGGCUCACUGGUCCAUUACUGACGCUGAGGUGCGAAAGCGUGGGGAGCGAACAGGAUUAGAUACCCGUGUAGUCCCUGUCUCUUAUAC